rnacentral:rRNA from 1 species
UACGUAGGGGGCAAGCGUUGUCCGGAUUUAUUGGGCGUAAAGAGCGUGUAGGCGGCCUGAAAGGUCAGCUGUGAAAACUCGAGCUCAACCUCGAGACGCCGAUGGAAACCGCAUGGCUAGAGUCCGGAAGAGGAGAGUGGAAUUCCUGGUGUAGCGGUGAAAUGCGCAGAUAUCAGGAAGAACACCCGUGGCUAAGGCGGCUCUCUAGUACGGUACUGACGCUGAAGACGCGAAAAGCGUGGGGGAGCGAACAGGG